rnacentral:rRNA from 1 species
AACAAACGCUAGCGGCAGGCCUAACACAUGCAAGUCGAGGGGUAGAGUUAGCUUGCUAACUUGAGACCGGCGCACGGGUGCGUAACGCGUAUGCAAUCUGCCUUGUACUGAGGGAUAGCCCAGAGAAAUUUGGAUUAAUACCUCAUAGUAUUAUGAUGUGGCAUCACAUUAUAAUUAAAGUUCCAACGGUACAAGAUGAGCAUGCGUCCCAUUAGUUAGUUGGUAAGGUAACGGCUUACCAAGACAAUGAUGGGUAGGGGUCCUGAGAGGGAGAUCCCCCACACUGGUACUGAGACACGGACCAGACUCCUACGGGAGGCAGCAGUGAGGAAUAUUGGUCAAUGGGCGCAAGCCUGAACCAGCCAUGCCGCGUGCAGGAUGAAGCAUCUAUGGUGUGUAAACUGCUUUUGUACGGGAAGAAACACUCCUACGUGUAGGAGCUUGACGGUACCGUAAGAAUAAGGAUCGGCUAACUCCGUGCCAGCAGCCGCGGUAACAC